UACGUAGGGUGCAAGCGUUGUCCGGAAUUAUUGGGCGUAAAGAGCUCGUAGGUGGCCUGUCGCGUCGGCUGUGAAAACUCGGGGCUCAACUCCGAGCUUGCAGUCGAUACGGGCAGGCUAGAGUUCGGCAGGGGAGACUGGAAUUCCUGGUGUAGCGGUGAAAUGCGCAGAUAUCAGGGGGAACACCGGUGGCGAAGGCGGCUCUCUGGACCGGUUCUGACGCUCAGGUGCGAAAGCGUGGGGAGCGAUCCGG
rnacentral:rRNA from 1 species